rnacentral:tRNA from 1 species
GGAGAUGUAUCGAAGUGGUCGUAACGAGGCUGACUCGAAAUCAGUUGUACCUUUGGGUACCGGGGGUUCGAAUCCCUCCAUCUCCGCCA